rnacentral:rRNA from 1 species
CCCUUAGAUGUUCUGGGCCGCACGCGCGCUACACUGAUGCACUCAACGAGUCUCCACCUUGACCGAAAGGUCUGGGAAACCUUCGAACUUGCAUCGUGAUGGGGAUAGAUUAUUGCAACUAUUAAUCUUCAACGAGGAAUGCCUAGUAAGCGCGAAUCAUCAGUUCGCGUUGAUUACGUCCCUGCCCUUUGUACACACCGCCCGUCGCUCCUACCGAUUGAAUGGUCCGGUGAAAAUUUCGGAUAGUGACGAUGCUGGCGGUUCGCCGCCGGCGCUGUCGCUAGAAGAUCUUUAAACCUUAUCAUUUAGAGGAAGGAGAAGUCGUAACA